rnacentral:tRNA from 43 species
GCGGCUGUAGCUCAGUGGAUAGAGUAUUGGCCUCCGAAGCCAAGGGUCGCUGGUUCGAUUCCAGCCAGCCGCACCA